GGGGGUGUAGCUCAGUUUGGUUAGAGCACCGGACUGUCAAUCCGGAGGCCGCGGGUUCGAGCCCCGUCACUCCCG
rnacentral:tRNA from 1 species